rnacentral:rRNA from 1 species
GAUGAACGCUAGCGGCAGGCCUAAUACAUGCAAGUCGAACGGUGUCUUCGGACAUAGUGGCGCACGGGUGCGUAACACGUAUGCAACCUACCUUACAUUGGGGGAUAGCCUUUCGAAGGGGAGAUUAAUACCGCAUAAGACAGUAGCUGGGCAUCCAGCAGCUGUUAAAGAUUUAUCGAUGUAAGCUGGGCAUGCGUCCAAUUAGCUAGUUGGUGAGGUAACGGCUCACCAAGGCAAUGAUUGGUAGGGGAACUGAGAGGUCAAUCCCCCACACAGACACUGAGAUACGGGCCAGACUCCUACGGGAGGCAGCAGUAGGGAAUAUUGGGCAAUGGACGCAAGUCUGACCCAGCCAUGCCGCGUGCAGGAUGAAGGCGUUAUGCGUUGUAAACUGCUUUUAUACAGGAAGAAACGACUCUUGCGAGAGGCAUUGACGGUACUGUAUGAAUAAGCACCGGCUAACUCCGUGCCAGCCGCCGCAGUAAAAC